GCUCAGAAACUCAAGGAAUUGACGGGGCCGCACAAGCGGUGGAGUAUGUGGUUUAAUUCGAUGCAACGCGAAGAACCUUACCUGGUCUUGACAUCCCGGAGACCCUUAGGAAACUAGGGGGUGCUUCCAUCUGGAAGAAUCUGGAGACAGGUGCUGCAUGGCUGUCGUCAGCUCGUGUCGUGAGAUGUUGGGUUAAGUCCCGCAACGAGCGCAACCCUUGCCUUUAGUUGCCAGCAGUUCGGCUGGGCACUCUAAAGGGACUGCCGGUGUUAAACCGGAGGAAGGUGGGGAUGACGUCAAGUCCUCAUGGCCUUUAUGACCAGGGCUACACACGUACUACAAUGGCCGAUACAAAGGGCAGCGACACUGCGAGGUGAAGCCAAUCCCGUAAAAUCGGUCUCAGUCCGGAUUGGAGUCUGCAACUCGACUCCAUGAAGUUGGAAUCGCUAGUAAUCGUGGAUCAGCAUGCCACGGUGAAUACGUUCCCAGGCCUU
rnacentral:rRNA from 1 species